rnacentral:rRNA from 1 species
UCCUCCUCCUUCUCUGAUCUGCGUACCCGUCCCGCUACACUCCCUUCCCAUCUUUUUUUUUUUUUAUUUUUGUUGGGUUUUUUCCCGGGGGAAAUUUUUUUGGAUUGACGCAGUGCUCAGCUUUUGGACGUUGCGUCGGAAAGUUUCAUGAACCUUAUCACUUAGAGGAAGGAGAAGUCGUAACAAGGUUUCCGUAGGUGAACCUGCGGAAGGAUCAUU